UGGUCCAUCCAAUCUCCUAAUUGGAUCCCUCCUAUACAGGUCAUAGAGGUCCCUCACCACUACUCUUGAACUACAUGACGAUCUCGACACCCUCACAUCCUAUCUCUAGUGGAUAGGAAUCAUCGGGAAUAAAAUCCUCUUAAUCAAUUGAUCACCAAAAAAUGGGUCACUGCCAUAGUACUCUAACCCCUCCUAUCAGGAUGGAAUAGAUUGCAGAUCCGCAAAGACUCUCCAACCUUGGUACUCGCAAAUGUUGGCCAUUGCAUUAGUGGGAGAUCCACUAUACACGAAUCAUGCAAGAGGUCC
rnacentral:lncRNA from 1 species